AGGAAAAAGGGUUAAAGACACUGGAGGCAGCGGUUCAUCGAUCUCUUCCUGGGAAUUUUGUUGUGAGAAUAACACAAAUACAUGAUUCGAUCGAUAAACCUCUGCAUCCAGAGCCUUACCUCUCUCUUUAA
rnacentral:pre_miRNA from 1 species